UACGUAGGGACCGAGCGUUGUCCGGAAUCAUUGGGCGUAAAGAGCGUGUAGGCGGCUUGCUAAGUCUUGCGUGAAAUCUCGGGGCUCAACCCCGAGCGGUCGUGAGAAACUGGCGGGCUAGAGUGCGGGAGAGGAGAGUGGAAUUCCUGGUGUAGCGGUGAAAUGCGCAGAUAUCAGGAGGAACACCGGUGGCGAAGGCGGGUCUCUGGGCCGUAACUGACGCUGAGGAGCGAAAGCGUGGGGAGCGAACAGG
rnacentral:rRNA from 1 species